GACGAACGCUGGCGGCGUGCUUAACACAUGCAAGUCGAACGGAAAGGCCCUGCUUUUGUGGGGUGCUCGAGUGGCGAACGGGUGAGUAACACGUGAGUAACCUGCCCUUGACUUUGGGAUAACUUCAGGAAACUGGGGCUAAUACCGGAUAGGAGCUCCUGCUGCAUGGUGGGGGUUGGAAAGUUUCGGCGGUUGGGGAUGGACUCGCGGCUUAUCAGCUUGUUGGUGGGGUAGUGGCUUACCAAGGCUUUGACGGGUAGCCGGCCUGAGAGGGUGACCGGCAAAAUGGGAACUGGGAUCCGGCCCAGACUCCUCCGGGAGGAAGCGGUGGGGAAUAUUGCACAAUGGGCGGAGGCCGGAUGCAGCACCGCCGCGUGCGGGAUGACGGCCUUCGGGUUGUAAACCGCUUUGGCCUGUGACGAAGCGUGAGUGACGGAAAUGGGUAAAGAAGCACCGGCUAACUACGU
rnacentral:rRNA from 1 species